rnacentral:rRNA from 1 species
UUGUUGCAGUUAAAAAGCUCGUAGUUGGACCUUGGGCAGGAGGCACGGGUUGGCCGAAUGGCUCGACUCGGGUCUCCGGCCUCUAUGGGUGGUCGUGCCUUUGGUACGGUUCGCCCGGGUUACUGUGAAGAAAUUAGAGUGUUUAAAGCAGGCGAUUGCUUGGAUACAUCAGCAUGGAAUAACAAGAUAGGACCUGGUUCCACUUGUUGGUUUGGGGGCUUUGGUAAUGAUUAAUAGGGCCAGUUGGGGGCAUUAGUAUUCAGUAGUCAGAGGUGAAAUUCUUGGAUUUACUGAAGACUAACUAGUGCGAAAGCAUUUGCCAAGGAUGUUUUCAUUAAUCAAGAACGAAAGUUAGGGGAUCGAAGACGAUCAGAUACCGUCGUAGUCUUAACUAUAAACGAUGCCGACUCGGGAUCGGCAGACGUCGUUAGCGACACUGUCGGCACCGUGUGAGAAAUCAAAGUUUUUGGGUUCUGGGGGGAGUAUGGUCGCAAGGCUGAAACUUAAAGGAAUUGACGGAAGGGCACCACCAGGAGUGGAGCCUGCGGCUUAAUUUGACUCAACACGGGAAAACUCACCAGGUCCGGACAUAGUAAGGAUUGACAGAUUGAGAGCUCUUUCUUGAUUC